AUUGUGAAUUUGGCUCCUUUGCUUGAUCUUCGGAUUUUUAGCUCAAAUAAGCCUUCAUUCAUCAAAAUAACAGAAAAGCGUGCAGUUCAAGCCAUUUUGGGGAUGCUGGAAUCUCCUGUCAGAGCUUGGCAUUGUGGGAGCUGCUGAACUGAUUGGCCGUUUAAUUAUAAACCCGAUAAUGAACCUUUCUUCUUCCCUCUGUUCCUCAGAUACAUAAGCGUAUGGUGGAUCUCAUGAGCUUACCAACACAU